rnacentral:piRNA from 1 species
UUAAAGAAAACUGCUGUCAAUAAAGA